ACACUGGUGGUUCAGUGGUAGGAUUCUUACUUUCCAUGCCAGAGACCCUGGUUUGAUUCCUGGCCAGUGCA
rnacentral:tRNA from 1 species